rnacentral:lncRNA from 1 species
GGAGCGGGGCUCGCCCCUCGUCGGCUCCCGCCGCCCAGCCGGUGAUCGCUCUCCGGCCGUCCCCGGCACCCUCGGCCCCCCACGGCGGUUGGUCCGGGCGGGGGAAGGAGAAAGUGAGACUCGGUGUCAUCACCAAUCCGUCGCCAGAAGGGGAGGAAACUGGAAUCCAGCAGCGGCGAGCAGCAGCUGGACGGUAACAUCUGGAAAUGGAAAGCCGACCUCCCCCUCCUCCUCCACCUCCUCCUCCUCCUCCUCCUUCUCCUCCUCUCACCCAGGAUCACUUCCGAAACCACUUGGCCUUCAGCCCCUGCCUCGGCCAGAGGUUUCAUUUUUAACUGAAUAUUUACCAAAGCUGAAAGCGUGCGAGGGGGGUGGGGUGGAAAUAGCGGCUGCUUCUUUUCCAAGGAUUUAUUUAAUGGGGAUGUGUUCAAGGCAAGACCGAAUUCAGAAGGAUAUCGACGUCGUGAUCCAGAAGUCCAGAGCUGAGGACUGCCUGUUUGCAGGAGUGAAGGCAAUUUUGAAGGCAUGACUACGACCUGCUCUGGCCACAAGAGCUAAGAGUUGCCAGGUGUUGUGGCUCAAACACUUUGAGAUGCCAAUCCCAACACUUUGAGAGGCCAAGGCAGGAGGAUUGCUUGAGGCUAGGAGCUUGAAACCAGCCUGGGCAACACAGCGAGACCCCAUCUCUACAAAAAAUAAAAAAACAGGCCAGGCGCAGUGGCACUUAGGGAGGCCAAGGUGGGUGGAUCACCUGAGGUCAGGAGUUCGAGACCAGCCUGACCAACAUGGAGAAACCCCGUCUCUACAAAAAAUACAAAGUUUGCCAGUGUGGUGGCACAUGCCUGUUAUCCCAGCUACUCAGGAGGCUGAGGCAGGAGAAUCGCUUGAACCCGAAAGGCAGAGGUUGCAGUGAGUGGAGAUCAUGCCAUUGCACUCCAGCCUGCGCAACAAGAGUGAAACUCCAUCUCAAAUAAAUAAAUAAAAUAAAGUUUUAAAAAGUCAAAAU